UCAAAUCAUCGUGGGGCUGUCUAAUCGCUAGGGUUGACCCAUGCCUGAGGUGGGAUAAUGUCCCUAGGCGGCAGUGCCGCAUGCCGUUGUCAGGAGUGACAGUUUCCAGCAGUCGUAUGGCGUUUGAAGGAGCCGACCGACCAUAGGUCGGCGGCUAGUUGACGGGCGUCAGGUGGAAACUCAGGGCCCCUCCGACAGUCAGUCGGGCACGUUGCAAGAGUCGGGCAACAGACUCCAUUGUAUAGUCGGUCG
rnacentral:lncRNA from 1 species